AUUGAACGCUGGCGGCAGGCCUAACACAUGCAAGUCGGACGGUAGCACAGAGAGCUUGCUCUCGGGUGACGAGUGGCGGACGGGUGAGUAAUGUCUGGGAAACUGCCCGCUGGAGGGGGAUAACUACUGGAACCGGUAGCUAAUACCGCAUAACGUCUUCGGACCAAAGUGGGGGAUCUUCGGGCCUCACACCAUCGGAUGUGCCCAGAUGGGAUUAGCUAGUAGGUGGGGUAAUGGCUCACCUAGGCGACGAUCCCUAGAUGGUCUGAGAGGAUGACCAGCCACACUGGAACUGAGACACGGUCCAGACUCCUACGGGAGGCAGCAGUGGGGAAUAUUGCACAAUGGGCGCAAGCCUGAUGCAGCCAUGCCGCGUGUAUGAAGAAGGCCUUCGGGUUGUAAAGUACUUUCAGCGGGGAGGAAGGCGAUGGAGUUAAUAGCUUCAUCGAUUGACGUUACCCGCAGAAGAAGCACCGGCUAACUCCGUGCCAGCAGCCGCGGUAA
rnacentral:rRNA from 1 species